AAAGGGCGCGUAGGCGGCCAUUCAAGUCGGGGGUGAAAGCCUGUGGCUCAACCACAGAAUUGCCUUCGAUACUGUUUGGCUUGAGUAUGGUAGAGGUUGGUGGAACUGCGAGUGUAGAGGUGAAAUUCGUAGAUAUUCGCAAGAACACCGGUGGCGAAGGCGGCCAACUGGACCAUUACUGACGCUGAGGCGCGAAAGCGUGGGGAGCAAACAGGAUUAGAUACCCCAGU
rnacentral:rRNA from 1 species